CUGGCGGCGUGCCUAAUACAUGCAAGUCGAACGGUCUUUCUAUGGAAGCUUGCUUCCACUGAGAAGAUAGUGGCGAACGGGUGAGUAACACGUGGGUAACCUGCCCAUAAGAGGGGGAUAACAUCCGGAAACGGGUGCUAAUACCGCAUAGUUUUCUUGAUCGCAUGAUUGAGAAAGGAAAGACGGCCUUUGUGCUGUCGCUUAUGGAUGGACCCGCGGCGUAUUAGUUAGUUGGUGAGGUAACGGCUCACCAAGACGAUGAUACGUAGCCGACCUGAGAGGGUGAUCGGCCACAUUGGGACUGAGACACGGCCCAAACUCCUACGGGAGGCAGCAGUAGGGAAUCUUCCGCAAUGGACGAAAGUCUGACGGAGCAACGCCGCGUGAGUGAAGAAAGGUUUUCGGAUCGUAAAACUCUGUUGUCAGAGAAGAACAAGUUGGAGAGUAACUGCUCCAGCCUUGACGGUAUCUGACCAGAAAGCCACGGCUAACUACGUGCCAGCAGCGGC
rnacentral:rRNA from 1 species